rnacentral:rRNA from 1 species
CUAUUUUCCGGUUCGCCGUAAGGUAGCUAGUGACGUCACACUUCCAAGAAAAGCUCAUACAUCUAUAUAAUUGCAUUACCUGUACCUGAAACCGACACAGGUAGGUUGGUAGAGUAUACCAAGGGGCGCGAGAGAACUCUCUCUAAGGAACUCGGCAAACUGGCCCCGUAACUUCGGAAGAAGGGGCGCCCCCCGCAAGGGGGGUCGCAGUGACCAGGCCCAGGCGACUGUUUACCAAAAACACAGGUCUCCGCAAAGUCGUAAGACAAUAUGGGGGCUGACGCCUGCCCAGUGCCGGAAGGUUAAGGAAGUUGGUUAUUAUUUAUUUAAGAAGCUGACGACCGAAGCCCCGGUGAACGGCGGCCGUAACAAUAACGGUCCUAAGGUAGCGAAAUUCAUUGUCGAGUAAGUUUCGACCUGCACGAAAGGCGUAACGAUCUGGGCGCUGUCUCGGAGAGAGACUCGGUGAAAUAGACUUGUCCGUGAAGAUGCGGACUACCUGCACCUGGACAGAAAGACCCUAUGAAGCUUGACUGUAUCUUGGAAUUGGGUUUGGGCUUUUCUUGCGCAGCCUAGGUGGGAGGCUAUGAAGAUUACCUUCUGGGGUAGUUGGAGCCAUCAGUGAGAGACCACUCUGGAAGAGCUAGAAUCCUAACGGGGAUCCUUGAAUCAGGACUCCGGACAGUUUCAGGGGGGCAGUUUAUUUGGGGCGAAUACCUCAUAAAAGGUAACUGAGGUGUGCAAAGGUUCCCUCAGUCUGGACGGAAAUCAGACAGUGAGUGUAAAGGCAAAAGGGAGCUUGACUGCAAGACCUACAAGUCAGCAGGGGCGAGAGCCGGCCUUAGUGAUCCGACGGUGCCGCGUGGAAGGGCCGUCGCUCAACGGAUAAAAGUUACUCUAAGGAUAACAGGCUGAUCUUCCCCAAGAGUUCACAUCGACGGGAAGGUUUGGCACCUCGAUGUCGGCUCAUCACAUCCUCGGUCUGUAGUAGGCCCGAAGGGUUGGGCUGUUCGCCCAUUAAAGUGGUACGUGAGCUGGGUUCAAAACGUCGUGAGACAGUUUGGUCCAUAUCCGGUGUAGGCGUUAGAGUGUUGAGAGGAGCCGUCCAUAGUACGAGAGGACCUGGAUGGACGUGCCAAUGGUGUACCAGUUAUCGUUCCAACGGUAAACGCUGGGUAGCUAUGCACGGAUAGAUAACUGCUGAAAGCAUCUAAGUAGGAAACUAACCUCAAGAUGAACACUCUCUGAGGCCACGGCAAGACUAGCCGAUUGAUAGGCAUUAGGUGUACAGCCAGCAAUGGUUUUAGCCGAGAUGUACU